GUUUUGAUUUUGGGUCGGUGAUGAUCUGACGAUUGAUGCAAGGAUUAUUACUUGUCUAUUGAUUUGAGUCCUGAUCGUGUGAUAGUCCUACGAAAUCGAAGAAGGUACGAAAUGUUUCGAUCUCUCUCUCUUCUUGGUUAAUUUGGGAAUCUAGGGUUUGGAUUUGGAAUUUGCUUUCGUUGAUUUCUGUUGGAAUUUAGAGGUUUGAUAGUUCUGGGAUCUUUCUAUUAGGGUAAUGUUUAACUUGUUCGAUAGGUUUUAAAUUUGGUGAUCGGAUAACAG